CGCUUGAUUUUUUUACGGUUCGUACAUUCACGCUCUAAAAGGCCGGCUGUAUAUUGUUUAGAGACCAUGCAAAGCCCAUUGGGAGACGAAAAAAGUAGCAUGUGUACCUUACACACCAUUCAGGUUUGCAGAAAGAAAAAAUGCAUCGCUCAAUCCCGUCCUAAUCUCGCCUACCACCACCGCCCCAUCCAUCUAGUUCCCCGUGCAGCCACGGCCGCCGCCCCAUCCAUCCAGUCUCCCUGAUCGAUGAUCUACAAGGAGCAGCCGCCAGGCACGCUCCUCCGGCCAGGCGCCCCUUCCAGCAGCCACCGCCGGCGGUCCUUCUACGAGCCGCCACCACGUCCGACGCUCUCUCAGACAGACAUCUCGACCGAUGCUUCCCCUGGCCAGCCGCCACAGGUCACUUGCUGCUCGGAUUGGAUUCAUUGCUUCCUACGUCUCCUGCAGCUCAUGUUGAUACACAACUACUUAUCUCUGAAUUUAAUUAUCCAGACUUGAUGACCGAAUGUACCUACAUUUGUUCUGUGCAUAUUACAUAGCAUAUCAAUUCCUUACCUUGGAUUAUUCAUAUUGAUUCCUCUAGAUACAACUCACUUGCUUAUGCCUGCUGAAAUAUUUUUGUAUGUGUUAAGCCACUUAAUUUGUUUCGCAUUGUUUACCUCUAUUUUUAAGGUUCACGAAGCUACUGACCCCGAAAGAGUGAUGCUGCGAAUGAGAUUCUGAAAGAUUGCUCUCCGGAUCAAAAGGUGCUCCACGUUAUGCUUCACAGAUAUCUUCCUGCUCGGACUGGAUUCAUUGCUUCAUAGGUCUCUUGCAGCUCGCGUUGUAUUUCAUGAAAGGAAUUGAUAUGCAGAUAUAAAAUGGAGUCUAAUGAUAGAUCAUCCGAUUCAUCAAGUGAAACAGACAAUGAAAUGGAAAAUCAUCCAGAAUGUCGCUAUAUGACAGCAAAUGAGGUUGUUUGGCGCUUGCCAAAGAGAAUGAAGAUUGAUUCAGUAUCCAAGCUCCCCAUUAGUUAUGUCAUAAAGAAAAGCUUCGCAGUUCACAAUGCACAAAUGUUACCCUCUACAAAGCCAUCUCCAUGCAAAGAAAUGAUGACCCAUCCAUCUUCAAAAAAUAUCGAGAGUGCGAUGACCCAUACACCAGAGGACGCAAACAAUACUACAUCUCCCUCUUGCCAACCCGCAGCUACUAUCAUUGAGAACAAACAAAAUAGAAGAUGAAACCACCAACAAAGAGAUUAUUGUGCAAUCAGGACAUGCGAGGGAAACAUGACAUUGUAAAGAUGCAUGCAAUCACAAGAAUAAUGGUGCACAAGAAUACUGUUGUUUUUUCACAACAUGAACGGCAUAGAAGAGAAGCUUGCAAGCACCUCAAUUAAAUUGUAAUCCCGACAAACUUACGUUAUUACUAUUUCCUGAUGACCCUAUACAUGUUGUGAGAUAUGGACUCACCUAUGCAAUUAUUAAGUCAGAAUUGUGAAGUUUAUGGGUGACAUGCACUUUACUGAGCUGAUUAUCAGUAUUUUACUUCAAUUGUUAUCAAAUCUAUUCCCUCCGUCCCGAAAUAAGUGCAUCAACUUUGUACUAGCUUUAGUACAAAGUUGUACUAAGCUUGAGACACUUAUUUUGGGAAGGAGGGAAUACUACCUUCAUAGUUCAGUAAAUAAACAAAAAUAUAUAUUUCC